rnacentral:rRNA from 1 species
GAACUUAAGCAUAUCAAUAAGCGGAGGAAAAGAAACCAACAGGGAUUACCUCAGUAACGGCGAGUGAAGCGGUAACAGCUCAAAUUUGAAAUCUGGCUCUUUCAGGGUCCGAGUUGUAAUUUGUAGAAGAUGCUUUGGGCAUUGCUCCGGUCUAAGUUCCUUGGAACAGGACGUCAUAGAGGGUGAGAAUCCCGUAUGUGACUGGUGGCAUUUGUCCGUGUAAAGCUCUUUCGACGAGUCGAGUUGUUUGGGAAUGCAGCUCAAAAUGGGUGGUAUAUUUCAUCUAAAGCUAAAUAUUGGCCAGAGACCGAUAGCGCACAAGUAGAGUGAUCGAAAGAUGAAAAGCACUUUGGAAAGAGAGUUAAACAGUACGUGAAAUUGUUGAAAGGGAAGCGCUUGCAACCAGACUUGCAGGUCGUUGAUCAUCCGGGGUUUUCCCCGGUGCACUCGGCGGCUUUCAGGCCAGCAUCGGUUUGAGUGGUGGGAUAAAGGCCUUGGGAAUGUGGCUCCUCUCGGGGAGUGUUAUAGCCCAAGGUGCAAUGCCGCCUAUUCGGACCGAGGACCGCGCUUCGGCUAGGAUGCUGGCGUAAUGGUUGUAAGCGACCCGUCUUGAAACACGGACCAAGGAGUCUAACAUCUAUGCGAGUGUUUGGGUGUCAAACCCAUACGCGUAAUUAACGUGAACGGAGGUAAGAACCCUUAAGGGUGCAUUAUCGACCGAUCCUGAUGUCUUCGGAUGGAUUUGAGUAAGAGCAUAGCUGUUGGGACCCGAAA